CAGUGUAUCAAUAAAAUAAUUAUCCAAAUGGAUAUAAUUUCCUAAUUUGUCAGUAGUAGGAGCAGCUGUAUGUGUGCUAGGCAGGUGUGUGUACUGUAUGUGGUCUAGGCAGGUACGUGUGCUGUAUGUAUGCUAGGCAGGUAUGUGUGCUGUUUGUAUGCUAGGCAGGUAUGUGUGCUGUAGGUGUGCUAGGCAGGUACGUGUACUGUAUGUGUGCUGUAUGUAUGCUAGGCAGGUACGUGUGCUGUAGGUGUGCUAGGCAGGUACGUGUACUGUAUGUGUGCUGUAUGUAUGCUAGGCAGGUACGUGUACUGUAUGUGUGCUGUAUGUAUGCUAGGCAGGUACGUGUACUGUAUGUGUGCUGUAUGUAUGCUAGGCAGGUACGUGUACUGUAUGUGUGCUGUAUGUAUGCUAGGCAGGUACGUGUACUGUAUGUGUGCUGUAUGUAUGCUAGGCAGGUACGUGUACUGUAUGUGUGCUGUAUGUAUGCUAGGCAGGUAUGUGUGCUGUAUGUAUUCUAGGCAGGUAUGUGUGCUGUAUGUAUUCUAGGCAGGUAUGUGUGCUGUAUGUAUGCUAGACAGGUAUGUGUGCUGUAUGUAUGCUAGACAGGUAUGUGUGCUGUAUGUAUGCUAGACAGGUAUGUGUGCUGCAGGUAUGUGUGCUGUAUGUAUGCUAGGCAGGUAUGUGUGCUGUAUGUGUGCUGCAGGUAUGUGUGCUGUAUGUAUGCUAGGCAGGUAUGUGUGCUGUAUGUAUGCUAGACAGGUAUGUGUGCUGUAUGUAUGCUAGGCAGGUAUGUGUGCUGUAUGUAUGCUAGACAGGUAUGUGUGCUGUAUGUAUGCUAGACAGGUAUGUGUGCUGCAGGUAUGUGUGCUGUAUGUAUGCUAGGCAGGUAUGUGUGCUGUAUGUAUGCUAGACAGGUAUGUGUGCUGUAUGUAUGCUAGGCAGGUAUGUGUGCUGUAUGUAUGCUAGACAGGUAUGUGUGCUGUAUGUAUGCUAGGCAGGUAUGUGUGCUGUAUGUAUGCUAGACAGGUAUGUGUGCUGCAGGUAUGUGUGCUGUAUGUAUGCUGGGCAGGUAUGUGUGCUGUGUGUAUGCUAGGCAGGUAUGUGUGCUGUAUGUAUGCUAGACAGGUAUGUGUGCUGUAUGUAUGCUAGACAGGUAUGUGUGCUGCAGGUAUGUGUGCUGUAUGUAUGCUAGACAGGUAUGUGUGCUGUAUGUAUGCUAGGCAGGUAUGUGUGCUGUAUGUAUGCUAGACAGGUAUGUGUGCUGUAUGUAUGCUAGGCAGGUAUGUGUGCUGUAUGUAUGCUAGACAGGUAUGUGUGCUGUAUGUAUGCUAGGCAGGUAUGUGUGCUGUAUGUAUGCUAGACAGGUAUGUGUGCUGCAGGUAUGUGUGCUGUAUGUAUGCUGGGCAGGUAUGUGUGCUGCAGGUAUGUGUGCUGCAGGUAUGUGUGCUGUGUGUAUGCUAGGCAGGUAUGUGUGCUGUAUGUAUGCUAGGCAGGUAUGUGUGCUGUAUGUAUGCUAGACAGGUAUGUGUGCUGUAUGUAUGCUAGGCAGGUAUGUGUGCUGUAUGUAUGCUAGACAGGUAUGUGUGCUGUAUGUAUGCUAGACAGGUAUGUGUGCUGCAGGUAUGUGUGCUGUAUGUAUGCUAGGCAGGUAUGUGUGCUGUAUGUAUGCUAGACAGGUAUGUGUGCUGUAUGUAUGCUAGGCAGGUAUGUGUGCUGUAUGUAUGCUAGACAGGUAUGUGUGCUGUAUGUAUGCUAGACAGGUAUGUGUGCUGCAGGUAUGUGUGCUGUAUGUAUGCUGGGCAGGUAUGUGUGCUGUGUGUAUGCUAGGCAGGUAUGUGUGCUGUAUGUGUUCUGUAUGUAUGUUAGACAGGUAUGUGUGCUAUAUGUGUACUAGGCAGGUAUGUGUGCUGUAUGUGUGCUUGUCAGGUAUGUGUGCUGUAUGUUCUCUAGGCAGGUAUGCUAGGCAGGUAUGUAUGCUAGGCAGGUAUGUGUGCUGUAUGUGUGCUGUAUGUGUGCUAGGCUGGUAG